GUUUGGCAUUUUCACUUGAAAGUAUUGAACUUCAGGAACAGAUCUAUAUAGGAGAUUUGAGGGUUUGUUAGAGAAGGAAAACUAGAAGCUUUUUGCCCAUGGAUUUGAAGGUCCACAGAUCUAAAUGAGAAAGAAAGUUCUUCGUUUCUAACCAUAAAUUAAUCUAUUGCAGUGCUGAGAAGAAGCCUGUCAAAAGGGAUGAAAGCUCAGUUAUUCUGAACAGUCUUUAGAAAGCGGCAUUUCUUGGUUAGUUGCUUUUCUCACUGUCCCAAAUAGCUGAUGCAGAUCUUGAAACAGAAAAUCCAGUUAUAAUGGGCUCUAGAUCUUAAAGUAGGUGAGCAGUUUCUUAUAUACAGCCAGUUCCUUGAUAAGGAUCCAGAGGAAAAACCAGCAAUAAAACAUUUUUAAAAUUGUGUACUUUAAAAGUCUUAGGAUACUUGCACCU
rnacentral:lncRNA from 1 species